GAAAAGUGAAUUUCCAAACCCUUCUUAAGUAUGUGGAAUUCGUGUAUUUCCUUGUUAUAUGUGUUUGGGGAUAAUGAAACUUGGUGAUAGGUUGACUAGUCAAUAUUGAUUAAUUAUAGUAACGAAAAAGGGGGUAAUAAGAGACAAUAUGAUUAAUUUUCUGUGUAUGAUGUGUUAGAGAAAGGUAUGAACGGCUUAUUGAAUAAUAGUUGAUGUUUUAUCCUGAUUGUGUUGUUGUGAAUUGUGUAAUGUUAUGAAAAUGAUUUAUCUCGUCAUUAUUUGUGCGAACAUGUCAUUUGAAUUAGUUCUAAGACAUGGUGGUGAUAAAUGUUAUGUAAAAAGAGGAUGUACUAUUUUGAGUGACACUACAACAUAUUGGGUCUUAGUCACACUAAUUCUAGACUACACUUUAAAGUGUUUCAUAAAGUAUUUUUGGGAACGCUUUCAAAAUGUAGCAAAAUUUUUUAACUUUUAGCAACAAUACUAUUGGCAACACUUAAAAAGUGUAGUCUUUAUUGCUAUAAGAUACACGUUAUAAGUGUUGCUAUAAAAUGAUAUAAUUGACAAAAAAAAUUUACAUAUAUGACCACACUUUUUUUAAUGUCAUAUUUUAGUAUUAUAAAAACAACACAAUAUAAGUGUGACCUUAAAUUUUCACCAAAAUUUUAUAUUCCCUCCAACAAUUAUAAUUCUCGCUCCUAUUUUUAUUGCCAAAACAAAUAAACAUUAAUUAAUAAUAAAACAAAAAGAGUUUCUCUUUCCUUCUCCCUGUCCCUUUCCUUUUAUGAAGAACUCACGCUUUCCCUUUCCUUUCUCUGAUAUUGUGCUAAAGAUCGAGCUCAUUCCUUCAAAUCACACUUUCAGUUUACUUCUCCGAGCUGAACAACUCACAAUUUCCUUAUCGAAGAUGAAGAUCGAACUGAAGAUCAAGCUGAAGAUCGAGCUUCAGAACUCACCGAGCUGACCGAGCUUUCUCUUCUCAUAGCUGAAGAUUUCGUCAAGGUAAGAGCUGAAGAUUUCAUCAAGCUUCUUCAUAUUGAAUGAAUUUUAUUUUAUUUUUGUUUAGAAGGAAUUGAUUGGGGUUGUUAGCAAGAUGAACUGAAGUUAAGUCUCUCCAUCACACUUUUCACUCAUAUUUCUCAUUGCAGGACUUGAUUUCAGACAGAUUUAGGGUUUGCCGCGUAAGAAUUCUAUCUUUGAAAGUCUAGAUUCUAGCUUUAGGGUUUUGAUGUUCUUUUGUUUUUAUACAAUUUUAGGGAGUGUAGCUCAUAAUUUAUCUUUAUUAGUUAAUUUGUGGGUUCCUUGAGCCUUAAUACCUUGUCUUGUGAUGUUGAACAAAUGAAAAAAAGAAAACUGAAUGAACAGAGAUAUUAGUUGUUCCUUAGAUAAAAGUAAAAAAUUGUGAAGAUUGAGUAUAAUGAAAUGAUGGGCAUUAAACAGAACAAGUGUUGUUGUAAUAUGUUAUCAACAUAUUUUGAAUUUGAUAUGGAACCGUUAGUGUAAUGUUUUCGUUGAACAUUACUCCUCCAGUUCUAUUUAUAUGACAUAGUUUCAAUUAAUUUUUUUAAACUUGCGUGUUAAAUUUUUUUUGUCAUUUAUGUAGCUAUAAAACUUUUGAAACAUGUAGAUUCUCCUGACUAGCUAAUCUGAAAAAUGGAAGAGUUGAGUUGAAGAUUCUCAUCUCCAGAUUAUGAUUUUCUCGAAGAAAUGAAGAGUUGAUGCUAAAGACCUGGGGAUCGAAGAAAUAAAAAUCGAAGAGCUGCAGGACGGAAGCUGAAGAAUUGAUUUCAUCAAUUGGGAAGAUCAGAAACUGCAGCAGCCAUUCACUGGCGAGCACGGAAGACCCUUAAGAAGAGUAUUUCACUUCUACCCUCAUUGGGUAUCUGAUCAAUCUCAUGUGAGAAUACUUUUUUGACUUGGGAAUGAAUACUUUGAGCUGGGUAAAGUGAUUUCUUAUGCGGUGCACCAUCUCAUAUAUCAUUAAGGUGCCAAUCUUGAUCUACAUCACACUCUGAGGUAUUUUUUUGUUUCGAUGACAUGCUUAUGUGAUCUAAGUCACUGUUAAAAGAGCUUUCCCUAUAUUCUUAGGCAGGACCUUGGCAAAAACUGUUAUAUAAAGGUUUUAGGAGAGCGAGCUAUUGUCAUAUGCGAUUUAAUUUUCUUGACCUCUCAAACUAGUUGGAACAACAAAAUUUUGUAGAUGAGUACCUUAAGCUUUGUGUGUUAAACAAACAAUGUACCAUUUCUAUCGAGAAAGCCUUCAUA